AAUCAACGCUGGCGGCGUGCCUAACACAUGCAAGUCGAACGAGAAAGUGGGGGCAACUCCAUGAGAAAAGUGGCAGACGGGUGAGUAACACGUGAACAACCUACCCUCGAGUGGGGAAUAACACCGCGAAAGCGGUGCUAAUACCGCAUAAUAUCUUUGAGUCGCAUGACCUGAAGAUCAAAAGCGCAAGUUGCUUGAGGAGGGGUUCGCGCCUGAUUAGCUAGUUGGUGAGGUAACGGCCCACCAAGGCGACGAUCAGUAGCCGGCCUGAGAGGGCGAACGGCCACACUGGAACUGAGACACGGUCCAGACUCCUACGGGAGGCAGCAGUGGGGAAUUUUGCGCAAUGGGCGAAAGCCUGACGCAGCAACGCCGCGUGGAGGAUGAAGGCCUUCGGGUCGUAAACUCCUGUCAGUGGGGACGAAUGCCUCGCAAGAGGUUUGACUGUACCCGCUGAGGAAGCCAAGGCUAACUCCGUGCCAGC
rnacentral:rRNA from 1 species